CAACCGCAGCUCUGCCAAAUCUGAUGCGAGUGAAAUGAGUGGAUAAAGUUCAUCAAGUACAGUUAUCUCAAUAAUCUCUGAAUAUGCCACAGGGGAAAAACUUUCUAUUUAAAAUGAAACCAGCCUGGUCUUUUUGGAGCAAGAUUAUGGUGGAAAGGGUUAACGCGAGUACCUAAACAAACUAUAUGUCACAGUUCUUGUUAUAUUUAUUGGUUUUGUACUCUUGUGUUUUCAGUUCUCCUUUCUCUGUCCUUAUGUUUGCCAGUUUAAGCUGCUACUUUGAAGGAUAGUUUUUUAUGUGGCUCUUUGUAUUUUUUACAUCCUGGCUUUGUUUUUUCUUCCCUAUUCAACCUGGGUUUUGUUUCCCAAUCAUUGCCUGUGUCCCUGUGUUGCUGUACUCUUUUCUUUUCUUUUGUCCUCUGUUCCUUUGGUUUUUCCCUCAGUUAGCUCUAGUGAUAAUAUCCUACCUGCAGCACUUUUUUACUUUUUUUUCCAUUGAUAUCUCUUUUUUUUUUACCCUCAGCCUUUUCGCCUCUGCAUAGUCCUGCAUUUGUGCAAGUUUAAGAACCGUGGGUAAAUCAUAAAACCACUUCUGGGGCUUCGGAUAUCAAACUCCAACUCUACCAACUGUAUGUAAAAGGCCUUGGAAACAGGUCAAAAGAAACACACUUUCCAGUUCCAGAAACGAGACCCGAUUACAGAAAGACUUUGUCUCACAGUUUAUUUGUAAUCAGUGAGCAAUAGCAAGACUACUGAAGAGGCUAAGAAUGAAGUCAAAGUUGAAGUAAUGGCUUAGAACGACCUGCAGGGCUCCACAUAAGUGAGCCACUGGGAAAUCAAAUGAGACUACCACACUGCAGCUCUGUUUAUUUUUCCAGCACCGUAUUGCCUCUCCUGGGCAAAGUAAAAAAAAAAAAAAAAAAAUAGACAACACUGGGAGCUUCUCUUCCUCGGGGAGCUCAUACACCCACCGGAGGGAAACUGUUUUCCUCCCAGCUUUGCCCCUUCACAACGGAAAGACAAAACAACGCGCUGGUGGGCUCCUGCCAACUCUUGCAGCUGUACCAUCCUCCCAAAAGGCAUAAUUUCCUUCCAAAGGCCUUUCCUCUUCCUGUUUUGUGGAAUUCCACCAUGUUGUUUUCUAUUUUUUUUUUUUUAACCUCUUGUUUAUUAGAUGAGCAGCGAUGCAAUCACAGGAGGCCUACGGAAAAUAUUUUUGGUUCCUAAAUUGGAAGCAGACCUCAGUCACUUUUCCUCUCCUCUGUGACCGGGCAUUGAGUCAUAAUUGACCCUGUGUUUAUCAUAGCGUAUCACGCUGAGAUCAGAACAACUCUGUGUUGCAAGGGGGCGGCUUCAUCAAAGCAAGGGCAGCUCGCUUAGUCACUGAUGAACAAUCGCAAAG
ensembl:lncRNA